GGGGGCUUAGUACAAUGGUAGUAUCUUCCUCUCCAAAAGGAAAGAUGUGGGUUCGAUUCCUACAGCCCCUG
rnacentral:tRNA from 1 species